ACCUAAGCCUCUCCGAUGCAAGCGCAUUUGAGACUCUUGCUGGGAAUUAUCAGUCAAAGAUGCUCACCCUUUCCCAGCAGACUUGAAAGCGGAAGCAUUAGCCCCAGCGGGAAGUAGCAGCCUUCUUAAAACCAAGAGAGGUUCCAGCCUCAGGUUGGAGCUGACGCCGUGGUGUGCGAAGCGGAAAACAACGGAGAAUUGGACACUUGGUGACAUCAUCCCUGAUGCAGCCUUGUCUGGUUACUGGCCUGCCUACGGUUGGACUGUCCUUAAUCAGAGUCCAACUGCACGUUGUCAGUACAGCACCACUUGGAACCUCUGUGGCUUCCUGGAUCUGUCCCAGCUGAAAGCAUCCUCCCAGUGUUAUGGACACAGAAUUGACCUAUAAACUAUGGUCACAAAUCUCAGCAUGUGCUAGAGGGAAAUUUAAGAAAGAUGGACAUCUUCUUGGGUAAUGUUACAGAGCAGAGGAUGGUCGCCAAACUCAGGUCUCUGGCAACACCUGGAAAACGGAAUUUCUGGACAACUAGUGUAGCAUGUUUGAGCAAGCACAUAUGUGAGGCUGCAGACAGAGCGAGGCCAGUUUCCACAUCUCUCCUGGGUCAACAGAGUGAAAGUUGCGACAGAACCCUUGUCGGCCUCCAUGAAUUUAAACAGGAGCUCUUAGGACCCUGGAGAGAAGGCUGAUGAGGACUGGCAGUGGCACAAAGGGACACCUGUUAGGACAGUAAUCCAAGACUGGUCUUAACCCCACGGAGCCAUAUUAGCACUUCCCCAUGCAGCUGCGAGGCAGCCUCCGAAUCUCUUUCACCACAGCAUUAUAGGAAAACGCUUCCCAGAAGUAAGAAGAGAUGCCUGAGCCAUUUCUGAUCUAGUCCAAUCCCUAUCGCCAUCCUGGCCCCACCGUCACGCUGUGACUAAAGAAACGGAACCCGAGGGACUGGGAGAAGCCCAUCCCCUGAACUGUGCUGCCUCUGGAGACUCAUCAGGCUGGAAACCCAUCAGCACAUCUCCUUUCCAGAGUGUUCCUGUGUGGCAUCUCCCCUUCCUUUUACGUCUUCCUUCAAGGCAGAGAUGCCAUCUGCUACGAUUUGGGUACACUCCCUCUGCCCACGCUGAAGUCACGGAGCACGUCGUCAAAUUACUGUGAGGUGGGACGCCUGGGUGGCUCAGUCGUUAAGCGUCUGCCUUCGGCUCAGGUCAUGAUCCCGGGGUCCUGGGAUCGAGCCCCGCAUCGGGCUCCCUGCUCGGCGGGAAGCCUGCUUCACCCUCUCCCACUCCCCCUGCUUGUGUUCCCUCCCUUGCUGUGUCUCUCUCUGUCAAAUAAAUAAAUAAAAUCUUAAAAAAAAAAAAAUUGCUGUGAGGUGAAGGGAGGUCCCCAGUUCCACAGAGGGCGAUGGUAAGGACAGGAAACCACAGGGCUUUCGAGGGGAAGGAAAACAGAACGACUCAACCGAUGGGAUUGUCAAUGACACAAUGGACUCCGGAGGGCUGACAAGUGACUUUUAUAAUAUUGUAUAAAGUUGGCAACAACAGCUGGCUCUACCCUGAAUAUUUUUGAUAACUUCUUAGUUUGCUAAGCUGCUUGGUGAUUUGGAGUGGUGGUUCAGCCCAGGGGCUGUGCAGCCAGAUUCUGUGAGUCACUGCUCAGAGGGCCCCCGUGUGAGGCUGCUGGACGGGAGCCAUGCUUUCUCCUCUCCCAGCCUCUGCCCAGAUGGAUUGUUGCGUCCCUUCGCUCGUCCACUCCCUGUGUCUCCACUCCUGCAGUUGCUGCCCCUUUUCCCAGGCUGCCAGUGCCCCGCCCUUUGGGUAUUUCCUCCCUCCUGGCCCAGAAGAGCUUUUCUCCUCCCAGGCCCCUCUGUUCUCACUCCCUGUCUUUUCGCCAUAAUCUGUCUCCUUCCAUGUGUUCCCGUCUUGACUUCCACCCUUCCUUAUUCACACCCAGUUGUCAUCUCAUAUCUUUCUGUAGCCACUUUGCUCUAUUUAUUUUUAAAGAUUUUAUUUAUUUACUUAUCUUUUUUUAUUUUAGAGAUAGAGUGUACGUGGGGGGGAGGAAGAGAGGGAGAGGGACAAGCAGACUCUGUGCUGAGCUCAAUGCCAGGCUCCAUCUCAGGACCGGGGAUCAUCACCUGAGCCUACACAGCCCCAAAAACCUAUUGGGAAGAAAAUACAACCCUAGUACCUCCUCGGUUCAGCAGUGAGCCAUAUUACUCUCUCAAUAGUAUAAAUGCCAUGUAUUCACUUUUACCUUUUAAAAUUAAAUAGACAAAGCACACACGCCUGGAACUAGAGCAUAAAUAAAUGUUAACAGCUUUGGUAAUGCAAAGAUGAUGUCUAUAGUUGUAGUUUGUUCUAUGAAAAAAAGGAGAUGUUGACCAAGGUUGACAGAGGAUGAAAUAGUGAUGUAAAUGUGUUAUUUACAGUCACAAAGGUAACCAGGGGAAGAACUGAAAGCUGCAAUAUAAAAGGUCAAAAGGAUAAAGAGGAGGGAAGGGGAGAGAUCAUUUCAAAAACUAGAUGGGGGAGCACAUGAGUGGCUCAGUCAGUUGAGCAUCUGACUCUUGAUAGAGCCCCAUGUUGGGCUCUGAAUCAGGCUCUGUGCUGGGCUUAAGAUUCUCCCUCACCCUCUGUCCCUACUCCCUCUCUAAAAAAAAAAAAAAAAAAAAUUUUUUUUUUUUUUUUUUAUCCAUUUGACAGAGAGAGAGACACAGCGAUAGAGGGAAC